GAGUUUGAUCCUGGCUCAGGACAAACGCUGGCGGCGUGCCUAAAACAUGCAAGUCGUACGGUCCUUCGGGACAGUGGCGGACGGCUGAGUAACGCGUGGGUGACCUACCCUUGAGUGGGGAAUAACGGUCCGAAAGGAUCGCUAAUACCGCAUACGACCAUUCGGUUUCGGCCGGAUGAGGAAAGCCGCAAGGCGCUCGAGGACGGGCCUGCGUCCGAUUAGCUAGUUGGUGGGGUAAUGGCUCACCAAGGCGACGAUCGGUAGCUGGUCUAAGAGGAUGAUCAGCCAGACUGGGACUGUGACACGGCCCAGACUCCUACGGGAGGCAGCAGUUAGGAAUCUUGGGCAAUGGGCGAAAGCCUGACCCAGCAACGCCGCGUGGGUGACGAAGGCCUUCGGGUCGUAAAGCCUUUUGCACGGGAAGAUGAUGACGGUACCGUGCGAAUAAGCCCCGGCUAACUACGUGCCAGCAGCCGCCGU
rnacentral:rRNA from 1 species